CGGGAAACCGGAGCUAAUACCGAUAAUAUUUCGAACCGCAUGGUUCGAUAGUGAAAGAUGGUUUUGCUAUCACUUAUAGAUGGACCCGCGCCGUAUUAGCUAGUUGGUAAGGUAACGGCUUACCAAGGCGACGAUACGUAGCCGACCUGAGAGGGUGAUCGGCCACACUGGAACUGAGACACGGUCCAGACUCCUACGGGAGGCAGCAGUA
rnacentral:rRNA from 1 species